ensembl:snRNA U6 U6 spliceosomal RNA
GUGCUUGCUUCAGCAGGACAUAUACUAACAAAUUAGAGAAAUACAGAGAAGAUUAGCAUGGCCCCUGCACAAGGAUGACACACAUUCAUGAACCAUUUUAUAUUUUG